UACGAAGGGGGCUAGCGUUGUUCGGAAUUACUGGGCGUAAAGCGCACGUAGGCGGAUUGACAAGUCAGGGGUGAAAUCCCGGGGCUCAACCUCGGAACUGCCUUUGAUACUGUCAGUCUAGAGUCCGGAAGAGGUGGGUGGAAUUCCUAGUGUAGAGGUGAAAUUCGCAGAUAUUAGGAAGAACACCGGUGGCGAAGGCGGCCCACUGGUCCGGUACUGACGCUGAGGUGCGAAAGCGUGGGGAGCAAACAGG
rnacentral:rRNA from 2 species